CCUCUUCCCUCCCCUUGCAUGCUUCAUCCCUCUCUUUCUCCAUCCCCCCUCAAGAGGUUCUGCCUGGCAUCACAUCCUCCAUGUGUGAACAGUACAAGAAGAUUAGAGUACACAUUUCUGAAUGAGAUAUGUUUUGGGAGGCCCAGGUUUUCAAUGAGAAGCUCUGUUGAAUGGUCAAUUGCAUACACCAGGUAACAGCUUGUACCGAGUCACAGACAACAAUAGCUGCAAAUAUGGAUUGUGAAUUCUCCAUCACUUCAAGUGUUUUUGUCAAG